UUUUUUCUUUUGGUUUCUCUUCUCGCUUCAUUUCAUUCAUUUGAUCCUCAAUCGCUGAUAUUCUUUCUUCCAGUUGAUCGAGUCGGUUACUGAAGCUUGUGCAUUUGUCACGUAUUUCUCGUGUCAUGGUUUUCAUCUCUUUCAUUUCGUUUAUGACCUUCUCUGCAUUAAUUACUCUAGCCAUCAAUUCUUCCACUUUUUUUUCAAGAUUUUUAGUUUCUUUGUGCUGGUACGUAAUUCCUCCUUUAGCUCUGAGAAAUUUGAUGGACUGAAGCCUUCUUCUCUCAUCUCGUCAAAGUCAUUCUCCUUCCAGCUUUGAUCCAUUGCUGGCGAUGAGCUGCUCCUUUGCCGGGGAGAUGCUCUUAUUUUUGAAUUUCCAGCUUUUCUGCCCUGCUUUUUCCCCAUCUUUGUGGUUUUAUCUGCCUCUGGUCUUUGAUGAUGGUGAUGUACUGAUGGGGUUUUGGUGUAGGUGUCCUUCCUGUUUGAUAGUUUUCCUUCUAACAGUCAGGACCCUCAGCUGUAGGUCUGUUGGAGAUUGCUUGAGGUCCACUCCAGACCCUGUUUGCCUGGGUAUCAGCAGCAGAGGCUGCAGAAGAUAGAAUAUUGCUGAACAGCGAGUGUACCUGUCUGAUUCUUGCUUUGGAAGCUUCCUCUCAGGGGCAUACUCCUCUCUGUGAGGUGUGGGGUGUCAGACUGCCCCUAGUGGGGGAUGUCUCCCAGUUAGGCUACUCAGGGGUCAGGGACCCACUUGAGCAGGGAGUCUGUCCCUUCUCAGAUCUCAACCUCCGUGUUGGGAGAUCCACUGCUCUCUUCAAAGCUGUCAGAGUCGUUUGCGUCUGCAGAGGUGUCUGCUGCGUUUGUUUAGUUUACUGUGCCCUGUCCCCAGAGGUGGAGUCUACAGAGACAGGCAGGUUUCCUUGAGCUGCUGUGAGCUCCACCCAGUUCGAGCUUCCCAGCAGCUUUGUUUACCUACUUAAGCCUCAGCAAUGGCGGGCGCCUCUCCCCCAGCCUCGCUGCUGCCUUGCCGGUAGAUCACAGACUGCUGUGCUAGCAAUGAGGGAGGCUCCGUGGCUGUGGGACCCUCCCGGCCAGGUGUGGGAUAUGAUCUCCUGGUGUGCCUGUUUGCUUAAGGCGCAGUAUUGGGGUGGGAGUUACCGGAUUUUCCAGGUGUUGUGUGUCUCAGUUCCCCUGGCUAGGAAAAGGGACUCCCUUCCCCCUUGCGCUUCCCAGGUGAGGCAAUGCCUCAUCCUGCUUCAGCUCUCGCUGGUUGGGCUGCAGCAGCUGACCAGCACCGACCAUCCGGCACUCCCCAGUGAGAUGAACCCAGUACCUCAGUUGAAAAUGCAGAAAUCACCGGUCUUCUGUGUGGCUCUCGCUGGGAGUUGGAGACUGGAGCUGCUCCUAUUCGGCCAUCUUGCUCCGCCCCCCCGGGAAAUGUUUUUAACACUUCAGGUUUACCAUAAUACAUUUUCAUGAGUAAAAGAGAUACUGAGGCUCUUUUUUCAAAUUCUUUUUUUUAUUAUCAUUAUACUUUCAGUUCUAGGGUACAUGUGCACAACGUGCAGGUGUGUUACAUAUGUAUACUUGUUCCAUGUUGCUGUGCUGCACCCAUCAACUCGUCAGCACCCAUCACCUCGUCAUUUACAUCAGGUAUAACUCCCAAUGCCAUCCCUCGCCCCCUCCACUCCCCAUAAUAGGCCCCGGUGUGCGAUGUUCCCCUUCCAGAGUCCAAGUGAUCUCACUGUUCAAUUCCCACCUAUGAGUGAGAACAUGUGGUGUUUGGUUUUCU
ensembl:lncRNA